GACGAACGCUGGCGGCGUGCUUAACACAUGCAAGUCGAACGGAAAGGCCCUGCUUUUGUGGGGUGCUCGAGUGGCGAACGGGUGAGUAACACGUGAGUAACCUGCCCUUGACUUUGGGAUAACUUCAGGAAACUGGGGCUAAUACCGGAUAGGAGCUCCUGCUGCAUGGUGGGGGUUGGAAAGUUUCGGCGGUUGGGGAUGGACUCGCGGCUUAUCAGCUUGUUGGUGGGGUAGUGGCUUACCAAGGCUUUGACGGGUAGCCGGCCUGAGAGGGUGACCGGCCACAUGGGGACUGAGAUACGGCCCAGACUCCUACGGGAGGCAAGAGUGGGGAAUAUUGCACAAUGGGCGGAAGCCUGAUGCAGCAACGCCGCGUGCGGGAUGACGGCCUUCGGGUUGUAAACCGCUUUCGCCUGUGACGAAGCGUGAGGGACGGUAAUGGGUAAAGAAGCACCGGCGAACUACGU
rnacentral:rRNA from 1 species